rnacentral:sRNA from 12 species
GCUCUGCGCUUGCCCCGGCUGCGCAGGCAGGCCAGUCAACAUGUGGUCAGCCAGUCCUGUCCUCCUCGGGGAAUACUCAGCUUGGUUCGGCAGAACGCCUAGUAGGAAAUCCAAAAGCGCAGCCGAC